GAGGAGGUAGCUUAGUGGCAAAGCCUGCGGUUGUGGCCCGCAAGACGAGGGUUCGAUUCCCCCCUUCUCCCCA
rnacentral:tRNA from 1 species